UUCACAUAUGCUUAGCCUGUAGUGCUCUCCACCCAACAAAACAAUGAGAUACAAGUAAUCUCAUAGCUUUGUGUUCAAGAUGUGCGACUCCAUUUCUGUUAACUUCUUGAUAAAAGGAUUGAAUGGGGGUUGUAGAUAGAAUAGCAGUAGCACUUGGAUUAAGAGUUUGAAGAUAAAUUGGCUAAUUGCCUAUAUAAAGGGACAAAGACAAACAGCCAAAUCUUUAAACAGAAGUAUUUGCCUAUGUAGUAACUGAAGAGCUCCCACGAGAUUUACACAAGAUCAAUGGUAAACUUACCAAAUUUUAGUUCAGUACGCAUAAACCAAUCCAAAAUUAUUUUCCCAUCACCACAUGCAAGAGCAUGAAAUGAUGUGGUGUCCGAAUAGGCAGAUUCAAUUGAUGUUGAUCAGACGAUGCUUGGUCGUGAGCUGAGGACAGAUGGCUCUGGCUUAUAAUGUCACUAUGAUUACCAAAGUGUUUGGAGACUUGAUCACGGCCAGGGGAAUAAAGAGCUCGAAGUCGAGUGUUAUUCAAAUGAUUGCUAUUCAGUACUCCUUUUUUAGGUGAAGGAUCUUGCCUCUGCGCUUCUCUAAACCGGCUUUUUAUCUAUUUGUAUCUUGAAAUGAACCGAAUCUGCAAUUAGGACCCUCUUGAAUCUUGAGUGGUCUAGAAAAGAUGAGAUUGGAGCGAAGAGUGGAGUGACUUUUUGUGAAACACAUUCACACCAUUUAGUGGAAGCGGUUCUAUUUAUUUGUGUGGGAUAUUGGCUGUAACAUUUAAUGAGCUCCUCCUUCAUUCCGUGUGGGUCUCUUUUCUUUUUAUAUAAUAUUUUCUUACUUUUGUCUUAAAAGAAAUUCAAAGCAACUAUAGCUUCAAAAGAAUAAAAACACCAUCAUAUCAAAAAAAAAAAAAAAAAAAAAAAAAAAAAAAACAAAUUAGCUGUCUUAAGUUAGAGUGUAGGGAGAGUAGGCCAAUAAUCCGAACCGAAUGCACCGAACCGAAACCGAAACAAAAAAAAAAAUAAACCGAAAUUUUGAAAAUAACCGAAUGGAUAGUAAAUUUAAUAACCAAACUAACCAUAACCGAAUCGGUACCGAACCGAAAUAUUUCGGGCAACCGAAAUAUCCGAAAUACAAUUAUAUUUUC
rnacentral:lncRNA from 1 species